rnacentral:rRNA from 1 species
UGGGGAAUUUUGGACAAUGGGCGAAAGCCUGAUCCAGCAAUGCCGCGUGUGUGAAGAAGGCCUUCGGGUUGUAAAGCACUUUUGUCCGGAAAGAAAUCCUUGGCUCUAAUACAGUCGGGGGAUGACGGUACCGGAAGAAUAAGCACCGGCUAACUACGUGCCAGCAGCCGCGGUAAUACGUAGGGUGCAAGCGUUAAUCGGAAUUACUGGGCGUAAAGCGUGCGCAGGCGGUUUGCUAAGACCGAUGUGAAAUCCCCGGGCUCAACCUGGGAACUGCAUUGGUGACUGGCAGGCUAGAGUAUGGCAGAGGGGGGUAGAAUUCCACGUGUAGCAGUGAAAUGCGUAGAGAUGUGGAGGAAUACCGAUGGCGAAGGCGAGCCCCCUGGGCCAAUACUGACGCUCAUGCACGAAAGCGUGGGGAGCAAACAGGAUUAGAUACCCUGGUAGUCCACGCCCUAAACGAUGUCAACUAGUUGUUGGGGAUUCAUUUCCUUAGUAACGUAGCUAACGCGUGAAGUUGACCGCCUGGGGAGUACGGUCGCAAGAUUAAAACUCAAAUGAAUUGACGGGGUCAUAGCUGUUUCCU